rnacentral:lncRNA from 1 species
AUGAUCCUUAUCACAUUUGGACUCUAUCUUCCACUAUUGUUUUGUUAUGUCUUGUCUCAGUCCUCUUUCCUGGACAAUAUUCUCUCAUUCCCAGCAGCUCUCCAACAACAACCUGCCGUGGACCAGCAGAGGAAAUUCAACCCCUGCUGUUUACAGAGUCCACCCCCGCCCCCCCUAUUCCCUCCUCCUCCCUCACUGUGGCACCCCGGUGGUCAUAAUGAGGAGACCAGUAAGGGAGGUGAUCACAGACCAGAUCCAGAUACAGGGACGGAGCUGAAAGGGCCCAGCUGUGUCCCAGGACCCCCUGGCCCCAACGGACCCCCGGUCCUCAGGUAGGUAAACCUAUCCACCCCCAAAUGUCUCUGUUAAUGUUGUCAUCCCACUGGCUUCAUCAAUUCAAUAUAUCUUUUUUAAGCCCGAUAAUGGCCCAUACAGUUAUAAUACGGUUAUAAUGCAGAUAUUUGGAAGAGUAUUUCAUCAGGGUU